GCGCACGCUGGCGGCGUGCCUAACACAUGCAAGUCGCACGUGAAAGGGAGCAAUCCCAAGUAAAGUGGCGUACGGGUGAGUAACACGUAGGUAAUCUACCCCAGAAUCUGGAAUAACCGGCCGAAAGGCUGGCUAAUACUGGAUAGAGCGACGGAAUCCGUAAUUGGGUUUUUCGGGAAAGGGAGCCUGUAAAAAGGCCUUCGUUCUGGGAUGAGCCUGCGUCCCAUCAGCUAGUUGGUGAGGUAAAAGCUUACCAAGGCAAUGACGGGUAGCUGGUCUGAGAGGACGAUCAGCCACACUGGAACUGAAACACGGUCCAGACUCCUACGGGAGGCAGCAGUGGGGAAUCUUGCGCAAUGGACGAAAGUCUGACGCAGCAACGCCGCGUGAGUGAAGAAGGCCUUCGGGUUGUAAAGCUCUGUCGAGUGGGACGAAAAUGCUUGGAGUUCACAGCUCCAGGAACUGACGGUACCACUAAAGGAAGCACCGGCUAACUCCGUG
rnacentral:rRNA from 1 species